rnacentral:lncRNA from 9 species
AAUCAAGAGGAGCAGAGAACAGCCUUGGGCCGCCCCCCACACACACACCCGCCCAGGGCAGUGCGGCUGCGGGCGGAGGAGAUCUGGGGCCCGGAGACCCCCGGUGGGCAGCGUCCGGGAGGACAGGCCCAGCUGCCGGCCCAUGUGUGGUCUCAGGCAGCCUCCGCCGAGCUUAGACUCUCCGUUCACUCAUCUGGAACCCGGGGCGGAGUGGCCUGGGCUCGGUUCCCAAGGCCCUCCCUGAGCCGGGAAGAGCGUGAGAGCAGGGCCAGGGUCUGGGCAUCUCAGCCCUGGCCUCUCCCUUCGCCUGUCACAGUCAGUGGGAAGAGCAGUUCUCUUGGAACUUCGGGUCCCCUCCCCCCAUGUCCAAGGCAGGUGUCCAAGGAGUUCCCUGGGCCUCCAUGGGACUGGCAGGACAGGUGGCCGGGGCUGAGAGAAGAGCACAAGCUUCUGGACACUUGGCCUCCCGAGCCUUCCUCCACCGGGGGGACCUUGAACCAGCAUCAGCGUGCCAACCUCAGGAGAGGCCUCGGGGGCGGAUGGAGGAUCACCGGAUCUUGUCUGGAACGGGGAAGCUGUCACCCGGGAGCCACAGGGAGGGCUAGGCCCUGCCUGCCACUCCUCAGGUGGGGGACAUCCCGCACUGGAGCUGUCCCCAGCCUCCCUGAACUGCUGACCUGCUCGCUCUGCUCACCAUCCCUCCAGGAGCAGGGAAGCUGGUUCCCUAGCAACAGUGCCCCCAUCACACUCUUCCCUCCAGGCCCACAUCCUCACUGCCUCUGGGUUUACUCUGGAACCCUGUUUGGGUGGGGAGGAGGGGGUGCGCUGAGACUCCCAUUAACCCUUCAGAUACUAGGAGUGAGGAAAAGGGCUUUCACCGAAGGUGAUCUGGGUUCAAAUCCCAUCUCAGCAGUGAUGGACUUUUUGGGCCUUAGUUUCCUCAUCUACAACGUAGAGAGGAUCCCCCUGCAUGAGGACAUGGUGUGAGGACUUAAUAAGGUGACACCCCCACCACCCCACCCCAACCUGGCCUGGGGGUCCCUUCCCUCUUCUCCCCUCUCCUGCUCGGUUUCUCUAUCCCUGUGUCCCCUGGCCACCCAGCAGGAGUAGAAAGCUUCCUUGCUGUCCUGGGACAGGAGACCAGGGAGAGGUGGCCUCUUGGAGUAACAGGGGGCCCUGGGGUACCUGGUUAGGGUCCUGACUCAGGAGUUAGACAGACCUUGCAUGAGCCCUGGCUGCUCCACUGACCAGCUGUGUGCCCUUAGCCAAGUUACUAAACCUCUCUGAACCUUUCUUUUUUCUUUUCUCUCUCUCUGUCUCUCUCUCUCUCUCUCUUUUUUUUUUUUUCUUUUUUUUUUUAGGGCUACCUAUGGAGGCUCCCAGGCUAGGGGUCAAAUCAGAGCCAUAUCAAUGCAGGAUCUGAGCCAUGUCUGCAACCUACACCACAGCUCACGGCAACCCUGGAUCCUUAACCUACUGAGCGAGGCCAGGGAAUGAACCCCCAUCCUCAUGGAUCCUAGUCAGGUUUGUUAACCACUGAGCCACAAAGGGAACCCCACAUCUCUGAGCCUUUAUUUCCUCACUUGUCCAAUGGCAAUAAUAAAAUAAUAAUAAUGCUUUCCUCAUCAGGGUUGUUGCUACAUUGGGGGUUUAUUUGGGUUUGGGUGGUUUUUUUUUUUUUUGGCUGUGCCACGGCGUAUGGAAGUUCCCAGGCCAGGGAUCAAACCCACAACACUGCAGUGACCUGAGCCACUGCAGAGACACCGCUGGAUCCUUAACCCAUUGCACCCCAGCAGGAACUCCAGGCCAUCUCUUACUGUUAGUGUUAUCAGCUGGUAGGGAAAAGAGAGUACUUGGGGGCGCUCAUGUACCCCGUGGCCCCAGGUUGUUGGAAGCUUCUGGUGAGGAUGAAAGGCAGAUUUGGGUGGCUAGAGUGAGAAGAGGGCAGCCAGCACCCAGACCCCCACACUCCUGUGCCUUUUGUGGCAGGAGAAGCUCAGGGGCCAGUGGUUCUCUGGGGAACCCCCCACCCCCGACCCUCCCAGCUCUGCUGGUGGAGCUUGGUGAAGCCUCCUUUUCCAGCCAGACGCCCUUGAGGCCUGGGCCAGGGCCGCCCUCUCCUCUGCCAGCAGGGUCCAGGCCAAGAUGCCUUUAUUUUUAAACCUGCAAACAAUGCCUGGCUGGGCACAGCCUCUGCAGAGGACAGAGAGCGAGGAUGGGCUGGGAGCCACACUUCCUGGGCACUCCUCACCCCCAGAGGGGUGCCAAGGGGACCUGCCCUCCCACUGACAGGGGCCCAGAGCCUGCUCAGGUUCCUCUCGCCCCUGGCCUUGACCCUGCUCUCCCUCAGAUCCCAGAGUUUCCCCGGCCAGGGGAACGGCUAGGAUGAGCCGCCCCCAUGAGACACACCUGGAUACAGCACCCCCGCCGUGCCUCAGAAACUGGCCGUCCCAAGAGUGACUGUCAGGACAUCAGGUCCCUCACAGGGGCUGGCUCAGAUCUCUGCUCUACCCCAGAGCCUCCUCAAGAUCCGGCUGGACAUUCUGAGUCCUGGGACAAGCUCCCCUUCCCACCCAGCGCCCUUGGUGCAUCGCCGCCAUGCACACCUCCUUUUGCUCCCAGCUCUCCGGAAAAUUCUCCAGUCUGUUCAGCAGGAGGGUGGUGCACUUGGCAGUGGCCAGUGGCUCAACACCCCUGGAGCCCAAGCACGAUCAAUGGACUAGGAGUCAGGGAUAUAGGGUCUAGUCCUAGUUCUGGCAUCCAUGCCUCACUUGACCUUGAGCGAGACCCAUAACCAUCCUUUCGCCCCUGACUUCCCCUUCUGCACAACAGGGACAAUUGUGGGGAUGGCCUCCAAGGGAGACCUCUGGAAUGGGGCGGUGGGGAAGGGACAGGCCACCGAAGACCUCAAAAUGGGCUUGUCUCUCCUGUCCCCAGGCCACUUUGAUGUUCCCUGCCGUAUUCUCUGUAGUUAUUCUGUCUGCUGUGCCCCGGCAGCCCUGUGAUGACGAAGAUUUUGUCUGUUUUGUCCCCUGCUGUGCCUCAGCGCCUGGAGCAGUGCCAGGCACACUGAAGGUGCUCGAUAAGCACGUGAAUGGAUGGUUGUGGUGUCAUCAGCUCUCUCUAGGUGUUGUGUACACACAGGGAAAAUCACAGGUGUCAGGCCUCAAAUGUAUACAGUGGUGUAACCACCGCAGGACGUAGACUAUUUCUUGCACCCUAAAGGUUCCCUGGGGACUCUUCUUAGUGAACCUCGCCCCUUGCCCCUGGCAACCACGGGCCUGCCUUCUAGAACUAUAAUGUGGCACUUUCUAGAAUUACACCUAAGCGGGAGAGGGCUGUGACCACGCCUGCGUUUGAGGAGACAGUUUGGGCUGCCGCCAGGGGCCCCAGAGAGGAGGGUGGAGGAGGAAGGAGGGACCCAGUAGGAUGGAGGGGACAGUGAUGGGCCUGGCCCAGGAAGGGCAGAGGGUUUGAGAGGUACUUUCAGGACCAGGUGAGCAUCUGGCAGUGGCGGCCAAGGUGAGGUUUCCAGCCAAAGCAGCUACCAGAGACUGAGCUGACCAGAGGCCAAGGCGGCAGUCACGGAGCAGGAGUUCCAGAGUCAUUGCUGGCUUGCCUGGCUCGCUCACAGGCAUCUGCAAACAUGGGUGUGCACAUCCUCACAGGCACAAGCACAUGCGUGUGCAUGCGAGGAGGAGGGCAGCCCAGGCCCUGGCAGAUGGCGCAGGUGACAGCCACUCGAAGCCUGGCUGUUUCCAUCUUCUCUGCAGGGGGCGCCUGGCCAGGCUGCACUGGGAGAGGCCUGGCUCAUGUGGAAUCCCAACCGUGGGAUCUAGCUGGGAUCCGCUUGCUCUUAGGCAUCGGGAAAUGGAGGUGUGACGAGGCUGAGCGAGUCGGUGCCGUCGCACGGAGACACCACUCAAAUGCAGCGUCUUUGAUCUGUGACAUAGAUGACCUCAUUGACCCUUCUCCCGGGGAGACACACUCCUUCUGUGUUCCGAAUUUGCAAAAGCAACUCUCUCUGGCUUCCGGACAAGAUCAGAAAAUGCAAUGUAGCUUCUGCUUGGUUCUCUUGAGACACUCAACUCUGAAGCUCACAGCCGCUUCCAUGCUGUGAGGAAGCCCAACGAGCCCACGCAGAGGGACGAAAUGGAGGGGCCAUUGGCUGCAACAGCUUGAGGGACCCCAAGCCAGACUGCCCCACCCACAGAAACUACGAG